UGGGUGGUCCACGUGGAGGGAGAGAGGCCUGUGUGCAGGGUCCCUGUUGGAGAGACCCCCAGGGAGGAUGUGGUUGAGCAGGGACCAGAAGAGAAAUGAUGUUCUCAGACACACCAGUGAGGGCCCCGGGCCAGUGAGGCCUCUGGUAGGGCCUCCAUCAUGAUGCCCACUCCAGAUGCAGCUCAGGAGCCGUCUCCAGGGAGGCCCUCCAGGGACCAGGGCGUGGGCACACUCUGGGUCCCCUUAUCCUGCGGUGCUGUCAUCGUCUUCUAACAGUCCUCCACCCCCCUCGGGCCUGCGGGCUUCAGAGCACAGCCAGGCCUCCUGCAUCUCUGUGUCCCCAGAGCAGCAGCAAGGUGUCCCCCAGGAGGACCCUGCAGUUCACGUGGAUUCAGUACCUGUGCAGGAGGAGAAGCAGCAGCCCAGGGUGCCUGUGUCCCCGUGCACACCAGCCACGCUGGCCAGAUGUCAGGGUGGAACAUCAUUCCAAGCGCUUCUUAGCUUCCCUCUUGUGGAGACAGCAGGGCCUCGAGCAGCGUACUGAGCACACUGGGGGUCCCGUCUUCCCUCUGGGACCCCUGGGUCUGCCUGACCAGUGGCCUCCACAGCAGGGAGGGACCCCUCCAGCCACAGAUGGUUCCAGGCAUGCAGCCCAGCAGAUGUGGGCCAGCUGGGACAGGACAUUCUAGUGUCCUGCUACAGGUCACAGUAAAUGAACAGGACUGGAGAGGAGAGACAGGCAAAGUGCCCGUCCUGAGAACUGUGAGCCUGCAGUCGCUGGGUGAAGUCUCCUGUGGUCCGACGCUGCGGGUUUGAGAACAGACUCUGGACAGCAGAUGAAAAGACAUGUCACACAGCACUGUACUCAUCCAUCCUUAGAGACGCUCAGCAGAGGACUGCGAGGCCCGGUGGAGGGACGCUGAGCUCAGCUGGGCUCCAGUCUUGGCCUCUGGUAGCCAUCGCCAUCCCACACACAUUGCACCUCCUCCUCAUGUGAUUGCACGUUGCCUGUGAACAGACUCGAGUAAGGAGGGGCGAUAAAAUACACAAUGGUGUGUGCAUGUGAAUAGAGGCCCCUGGAGAACGCAGCCGGCCAGAGCCACCCUGCUCUUCAGCGGGCACUGAAGAUGUUCAAUAAAAGAAC
rnacentral:lncRNA from 1 species